rnacentral:rRNA from 1 species
AGAUUGAACGCUGGCGGCAUGCCUAACACAUGCAAGUCGAACGGGAGUAGCAAUACUCUAGUGGCGGACGGGUGAGGAAUACGUAGGAAUUUGCCCUUAAGUGGGGGAUAACCCGGGAAACCCGGAUUAAUACCGCAUGACCUCGAAAGAGCAAAGUGGGGGAUCGC